GGGAAAAGGUCGACCUGAAAGGAAAAUCCAAAGCAUGAGCCUGGUGCCCUAUGGGAGGGGAACCUCCCUGCUAACAGUGCGCUUACAGGGUUUGCACGAGCUGAAGAGGAAUAAGAGAAGUAGAAAGCAAUGUUAGGAAGCAGGCUGAGAGCUACAGGCAGGUUUCUCAGGCACUGCGACAGCACAGCUGUCAUCAAUCGGCUUCGAUGGCGGGUGUGAACGAGUUAGAACUUGCACCUGUCUCAAAGCAGUUUGAGGAGGAAUGGAUGAAACCUGCGGCUCGUUAACAGGAUGGUCAGCUGGGGGCUUUAUAAGCCCCAUUCCCAGUUGGUCAGUCAAGACCAAGGAGGAAAGCUGGGUUCUUUUGACUCUUGCUCUGUGCUCCAGCACUGCGUAGCAAAGAAAUACAGUUGCUCCAGGAUGAAGCUUUGCCUUGCAAGCCGGCUGUAUGGAGUUGCUCAGGACGGGAUUGCUCGGGGGGCCCUCAGCCCGUGGAUCCAUGCAAGCUGAAAUCCCAGUUUUAUUACUCUCCAGGGAUCCACAUGAGGGCUCAUUGGAGACAUGCAGGGACUCCUUGAGGACAGCCCGUGGGAUGAGAGAAUUAAAAAAGAGGGGCAUCAAUACUAUGGAUAUUUCAAGUCUCCAGAGAGCUCUGCUUCGAAGGAAAGAGACAGCAGAGCGCCUGCAGCAGAACCAAAGCUUCAGCUCACUGAAUUCUCUGCUUUUUCCUCCCACUUCUACAAAACCACCCUUCAGACCACCAUUGCUCCAGCCAUGGAAGCAAUGUAGUGAAGGCCCAUGAGUCCACGUGGGAGCUCAGGCAGGGAGGAGGAGGAGGAGACCCAAGUGGCUGCUUUCUCAGUGCUGAGGAUGAUGUGCCCUGCUGCCAUGUGCCAACACCUGCACUGGGCUCCUCCGUCUCCCAUGGGGGUCUCAGCACUGUGAAUCACCACAGCCAUCCCUGCACCACAUCCUCCAGACAGAGCCACGCUGCAGCUCAGGGCAUUCCAUGAAGAAAUUGCUUUCUCAUGACUAAAUGUCAGCAUAGAGAAUGAAUGAAGAAAGACCACAAAUUUACUUAAAAUCUGCAACCGACUCCUCAGCGCAGAGGAAAGACUGGCAUCAGUGUCAUGUCCUGAAGCAGUGUCAUGUCCUGAAGCAGAUGCAGGAAGAACAAUUACUUGUGUUCACAGUAUCCUUAAGGUUGGAAAAGACCACCAGCAUCAUCUAACCCAACCGUGUAGGGGCAGUCUGCUCAGACACAUCUCUUGUCUAAGAGCUUCCAACUUACUGCAGUUUCCUUAUCCUCGUGCCUAAGGGACAGCACCAGGGACACCAAGGCACACAGUCCUUGUAGGCAUGGCUGGCUGCCAGCCACCCUUGUUCUCUGGUUAAUAGAGGAGCACAUGGAACCGUUGUAGGUAACAUGACCACUGCACAAUCCCGUCAUAGCCAGAAAUGUUUCAGCUGCAUCACUGCUAUAUAUUUUCUUUCCUGCAGCAUCUUAUUUGCCCUUGGUUGUAAGAGGACUGAGCUGAUGUUAGCAUUGUUUUCAAUUCUUCAGCAAAAAUAUUGGUGUUUUUCUUAAGAAAAAGGCAUGAGUGGACGAUGUAGUUUUGACUGAUCUGAUAAUAAGUAUAGGAGAAAGCACUCGGUGUGGUUGCAUUGCCCUUUUGUCCUGGGCUGCAGAUGGUCAGUGAAGCUGUGCUCACCCCUCCCAGGUGCUAACACUCAGCCUCUGCUGGGCAGAUGAAGCACAGCUGGGUAAUGAGCAGGUCCUGAUGGGCAGUGUUUGUUGGCCUGUGAACCUACCUUGCCUAUUUAGGGACCUGACCCAAACCUGGGAGCUCAGAAACGUGGUGCUCUCAGCUGUAGCCAUUCCUCUUCUUUAAAUUCAGUAGGCGUGCCUUUGCCACCAGCAGCAUCCUUGGAUUCCAGGCACCAUUCACAUCCUGCUGUUUGGGAAAUGGUCAUUGCCACCAGUCUGGGAAGAAUGUAUUUCUGCCCUUCUGAUAACCCACCAGAGGUCCCCUGAGGGCUGGGAUUCACGUUGCUUUCUGCCCUGAGGCUGUAAGGAUAGGAAGAUCAAGAUCUCUCUCAGUGACCAAGGGAGAAGAGCUUUUGGUCCACGUGCGUGUCUUGCAGUGGGGGAUCCCAAAUGAAGCCCCGAGUCCUGCAGCUCCUGGAAAUGCCACAUCAGAAACAUUCCUGCUACUGGGAAAAACACUUUGAAGACCGGGAAAACUGCAGACUUCAGUUGUUCUUUGUGGCUUCUGCAAUUUUUUCCUGGUGAGGUACAUUGCACGGAAAACCGUCGUGCCCGAUGUGGUCAGCAUUCUUAUUUACCAUAAGCAGAGCAGUUACACAUUGUUAAAUUAUUAUUAGCUUAGCUACCACUGGGAGGGUUGCCUCAGCCCUGCCAGCAGGGCUGAAACAAAUACCCACUGUUGCACACAGUCAACCAGCAAUGAGUUGCAUGGAUGCCCAGAACGUGUCUUGCUGCAGAGCUGUCCCCCCAGGCAGCAGCCCUUGAGGAACACAGGCUGAGCUGGGAUCUCUUGCAAUGGGAUGGGUUGAACGUGUGGAUGCUUUGGAGCUGAAUCUGAAUGUUCUCAGUGUGAGCCUUCGUUCACCCGUUGUGUCAGCCCAUCCAAAGCUGAAGAAUUCACUGCCAAAGGAAAUCUGGAGCUAAAUUCUCAAUUCCAAGCUCUGACGCUGGCAAUAUUUGCACCAAGAAACCUGACAAAAUUCAGGAAGUUUUUUAUGGCCGAUUCUUUCUGCCUGGAUAGAGCUCAUGCCAACAACAAUAUCAGCUCUGUGAAAGAAUUUUAUGGUGUUUUGCUGUGCCUGUGCCAUGGGAAAAAGGGGCAAGGAUGGACUUUACGGGGUGUUUGUAGAAGGACGAAGCACAUCGUCCUCACCCAAAGGGCAGCCAUCAAAGCAAAGCUGUGGCAGCAGGCAGUUCUUCUGCUCAGCCUGAACGUGCAGGGAGCAUCCCAUGGCUGGGAGGUGACUGCAGCCUCCACAGCACUGCUGUAGGCAGACAGCUGAGACGUGGCAUUCUGCACAAACCAGUGGCUGACUCCAGGCUGGGCCGCGUCCCCCAUCCCAGCACCUCAACACUGACCCCCCCAGGAUUGCUCAGCAAUUAACUGUGUGCUCCAUGGGUGAAAUGCGUGAAGUCUUGUGACAGCCACCUCGUCCCACAAGGCAGGGGGUGCUGAGAAAGACAAAACAACCCGCUCCCUCUCCUCUCUCAUUAAAGCAAAUGUCAUCGGCUGUGAUCAGCCUCUGUGUACAUGCACACAGCCAGCAGGAGAAAAUCAAACAUCAAAAGGGAAAGAAAAGAAAAAGAGACCCGAACAGGAUAUUGACAUCAUUGGGAGCUCUGCGAAUGGAGAUGAAAUGUAAAAUGAAGUUGCAAUCUGGCUGAUAGAAGUUGAGGACACGUUAACCCUUGGGCAGACCCGCUGCUUGCAGGGGUGGGAGGAGAGCUGCUUCCAUGGGCACCUGGGCUGCGAUUUGCUCUGGAAUGUGGGAGGAAUCUGACACCCAAAUUGCUUGGGAAGUUGGACACGUCCUGCCAUGGGCUGCUCGGGAAUUGCCAGUUCUCAUUAAUCUCUGCUGUGGAUCUGACAAGUCAGCUGGAGGGAAAUGGUUCAUUUCAUUUUCUUCUCAUCGAGAUUUUCCCACCGCUCUUUCCCUCCCCGUCUGUCCCACUGAUGAGGCAAGAAAAGGAUGACAAAGCAGAAAGCGAGGGAAGAUGCAGGGUGAACGUUUCCGCCGGGAUGUUUAAUGAUGAGAAAGGAAAGAAAGCACCAAAAGAAGUUCCUGACGGAAAAUUCCUCGCAGCUUUCAUGUCACAGCCCCUGACCUUCAGCUGCCCAUAAACACCCUGCAGCCACCCCCAGCACGUUCCCAGCAGCCCGGUGGGGCUCUGCAUUGAGCCACCCUUCCACCAGCAAAGCUCAGACUGGGAAUUCAAACCCCAAAUCCGGCUGUGGGGUGCCAGCAGCCAAACACAGCCUGGUUCAGCACCCCGUGCUCUGGUACCCCAAGGGGCCAUCAUUCACCACCACAUGUGAUGUGUGGUGUGGGCACACACCUUCAGAAACCCUCAAAACCAAAUAAGAUAUCACUGUCGAUAGGAGUUCUGUGAAUAGAGAUGAGGUAUAAAAUCGAAACAAGUAUUUCCUUAUGGUCUUUUUUGUUUAUUUACUUGGGGAAAUAACCAUGCACGGAGCUGGCAUUAAGGACUGGCUUUUCAGGCACAUUUUUAGCUAACAGAAUAAAGGGAUUUAUUUCUGCAGUGAAGAAACAGAGGAAUAACUUGUAAAGGCACUGUAAUUCCAUCCAUUUGGAGCUGACUGUAGCUCUGAAGCAGCCGCAGAUAACUUAAGAUGUUGCAAGUUCAGAAGGGAUUUUUAUCUCUCUGUUUGGAGAAGCAUCGCCUUGACUUCAUCGGCACAAUCUCAGUGUGAGGCUGUAGUUUAAAUAACAGGAAGGAAGAGCGGCUGCCCCGGGUCCAAGUUUGCCCCAGGAUUUGGGAUAAAGGCCGGGCUGCCAAGCAGGGGGUCCCAAACCCCAUAGCAGCCCCAUCCCACGUGCUCUGGGGCUAUGGAGGGAUGCGGGGGACGGUUGGAUCAGAACAUCGCUGCCAUCCAGGGGAUCUGGGCAUGAAGUGUACAGGGAAGCCCUGAUGGAAGAAAACAGAGCAAUGCCAUGCUGAGCUUCCCAGAGCAGAGCAGGGUGAGCAGGUCCUGGCCCUGUGCUGCAGCCCCACUCAGACCAGUCUAUGUCUCGGUCGCUGUCUGCUCCCUGUGCCAGCUGUUAACCAGCACCACUUGCUCGGCCUGAGCUGACCCAGCCAAUACCUGGAAUUAAUGAAACAAAAAGGCCAUGAAGCAAGGAGCUGUUGUUACCUAAUGUGUCUCAUCCCCUGAGCAACGUGUCCAUCAGCACGGUGCUGCGCAUCAGGAGGGGAAGGCGAUUUGGGUGCCUCGCUGUGUGCUCAGCAGCUCGGAUCCCCUCUGCUGCUUCACCUUUCUAACCUGCAUCUCUUCUGCUGUUUUUAUAGAAACAGCCUCAAUUAUUCCCACCCUGUUCUAGCAGGCCUAGGGCCAAGCUGCUUAGCUGCAGGUUUUCCUGCUCGUGAACAGCAAGCAACACCUAUCCACGCAAUGCAGAAGAAGCAUCCCAGUGGGUUUGCAUUUGCACUUUGCUAAAGACAGUGCUUUUGGGGCUGAAUUUCACCCAGGAGAGGCAGCAGGAGACUCUGCAGUGCUCAGCACCGGGCAGGAUCGGGGCUGCACAUCACUCUGCCACUCAGCCCUGGGAUCCCAUCUGUGGGAUAGCAUAGGGCCGGUGACACGGGACUUAUGGAGCUGUGUGUUUCAACAUACAUUUUCCAAAAGCUAUUUCAUACGUUCCAUCACGCCGAGUAAUGCGCUGGAAACCAUCCAGGCUUGGGGAUGUUUCUGUAAACGCAUCAUCUCUGCCCUUCCACUGCUUUUGCUGUGAGCAGAGGGGACCCGGUGCUCCCCCCUCCUGCUGUGGGAGCUGGGGAUGCUGCGAGGACCUCUCUGCUCCUUUGCAGUGCAGCCCUUCGUUUUCACUCUGCUUUCACAGCAGCGUUUCAUAUGGUCUGUGUCUUGAUUUCCUAGAAGCAUCCCUGCACUUCUCUGGCUAUGAAAACACCCCCACGAUGUCCUGCACGUACAGACUCAUAUAUGCAGCACACACACCCACUAGAUGGCUGUUUUCUAGCUCUUUAUUUGAUUGAAUUGUUACCAGAGGGAGGUGACAUUUUCUCACAAAGCUUUUUCUACUGCAAAAUUCAGGCUUAAAGACACCAGACUGCUCAUAAAGUGUGUAUCAAACCCGCCUAUUUCAUCAGGUAGAGAAAGCAAAACAUUAGGAGAUAUUCUGGAAUAGCUGGAGAUACACCUAUAGAACCAGCAAAUGGAUAUAUGGGAUGGGUUGAAAAUGCCAGAACUGUUAGGUUGGGAUCUGUUUCUAAAGAAGAAAAAAGAGAGUAAAUCUUGGAAUGAAACCUGGAUGCUUUGUUCAAAGCCAGGCAGAUGUGUUCCAUCUGGGUAGGAGGAGGUAUUCAAAACAAGGCCUGAUUGUUUUCCAGCAGUUUCUAAAUUGCCAAAAAAAGCCAAAUCAGCAUUGGUUCUUACAGUCUGAUAUUCAAAUCCACCCUUAUUGUGCCUAAAACACAAAGUGGCCAUUGCUUGGCACUGGAGGGGCAUGCAGAGAUGUUUUAUAUAGUACAGCGAGCACAGAAUGGCACAUUGCCCUUCAGGGUCUGUUUCAUUAGAGCCAGAAGGAAAGGACAGUAAGUGAGGGUCGUGUUCCUAUUUGAAUCUAACAUUCCACCAAUGUCUUUGAUUGCAUCCAAGCAGAGGUGGGCAUUCUGCUGCGUUUUACUCUCCUGCUGUAAACAUGAAAUAUUACUUUUAAUAGAUCUUUUCCCCUCAGAAAAAGAGGCUGAACACGUGUAAUUAGAGCAACAGGCACGUGUCUGCGUUCAGGGAGACAUCCCCAUAAAGGCAGUUGGCAUUUGAGCAGUCUCGAGUUAAAUCUGAAGGCUGGAUCUAUCCAUCUCCUAUUUUAUCAUGAAUGCUAAUUGGAGUCUGAGGGCCCUUUGAUGGAAGCAACACGGCAAACACAGCGUGUACCACUUCCUCCAAUUUCCAGAAAGCAAUAGGCACGUGAAGUGGACGUUGGGUUUAAUUUAUACUGUGAGAAUCCCUCGCUGCACAAUGCCUCCGUUUCCAGAUAUUAUUAACAGAGCCGGAGCGUCCUUCCAUGUGUGCUGGUGGAAAGGAACGAUAAAUCAAGCAUGCUUCUGGGACGAUUGCAAAACCUCCGUGCAACUUGACUCACAGUCUAAAAAUGUGCUUGUGGAAUGGUUGUGGUUGCAUCACGUAGGUGCUGCAAAGCAAACACCGAUUUGGAGAACCUCCUCUCCCCAUCCUCACUUCCUUGCAGCACGUGGCCAUACGUUUUCUGCCCUCUCCAGGAGCUGCUGGAUACUGAAAGAGCAUCCCUGGGAUCGAUGGUCCUCUCCUUUCUGCUACCACAGCAGCAAGAAGGGAACUCGAACUGGGAUCAAAGAGGUUUGGUUCGGCUCCUGAGAAGAGAAUGAAGAAGGGAAGGGACAGGAGGAGCACAUCUGGAGGCUGGUGCAUGGCUGCGUGGCCUUCCCCUCCAGCGAGCAGCGUUUGGAGAGGAAAUUGCCUUGUGGAUAGCUGAUAUGGGUGUUUGCUCAGGGGGAGCGGUGCGCCCGGGCAGGGAAAGGAAAUUCCUGGAUGCCAAGUCAAAUAUAGGGAAAAGAAAGCAGAUUCUGCAAGAAUAACUAUAUGCUGGAGAGAGAAGUUGAGCAGCCAGUCGGUGGCCGGGCACUGGGUUUGGGCAUGUGGGUGAUGGUCCAAGGGUUGGCAUGCAGCACAUCCCAGUACACCAAUAUCCCAGAAUCCCCACAUCCCCAAUAACCCAACAUCCCAGCACCCCAACAUCCCAGCAUCCCAAUAUGCCAGCACUGCAGCAUUCCAGAGUCCCACUGCAGCCCUUGGGCUCCGCUCGCUGCCCAGCACUGCACUCGGGAACGCAGGCAUGGCCAUUCCAUGUGGCUGGCUCCAUUCUUUUCUGGUUUUUUCCAUUUUAGGAGCUAUCCUGCACCAGCUUCUUUAUCAGUAGUAAAGAAGAAAAAGAAAGGAAAAAGGCACAAAGUAAAAAAAAGCAAAGCAAAACAUAACCACAGCGUUUUCCGUGACCCUUCUCUGGCCUCUGCUUACACAAAAAAAUCCUGGCAUCCAUAAUGAUCAGGCCUUUGAUUGAACGACAUUUUAAUUCGGGAUAUAUUAAAACAGCAUGUUUUCAAAUGAGCGGUCCCAGAGCAGAAGGGGAAGAGCAGGCUCCCCAGAACCUCUCCAGCUUCAGAGUCACAAGCUGUGCCCCAGAUGCCAUCACGGCAGCUUUGAUAGGCAGGCCCCUUGAUUUAAAAUAGGGCAGGGGGGGGGGUUGGCUAAUUGAAACCAUUGUGUUAUGAUAACCAAAUGUCUUCUGCCUUUUGCAUCUCCCAUAGAUGGCAAUGCAUAUUGAAAAAGACAUAAUAAUGCCACGUCCGUUUUCAGGGAGAGAUCAAAGGCUCUCCUGGAAAGAGGAGCCCAGUUGUCCCCCCCAAUGCAUCUGGGCUGCAGACAGCCAGUGGUAAAGGCGACUUCAUUCAUCCGCGGGGCAGAGGAAUGCUGUCUGGGUGCUUUGAAAAGUGCAAGGGCUGGUGGAGGGAGGAAAAAGCUCUGUGUAUGGGAACAGGGUGGAUUUAUGGCCCUCAUGCUGCAAUGGGGUCCUGUGGCUUCACUGUGCAUUUUGGCACAGCUGGCGCUGCAUUACCCAGGAGGCUGAGAGUGGGCUGCAAUGGGAGCAGCAAUCACCCAAAGCAGAGUCAGUGGCACAGAACGACCAAACCCAGGGUGAGCAGCAUCCUUAGUUGCUGCCUGCAGAACGGUAGCCCCGAGCUUCCAAUACGCUCCAUGAAAGCAUCCUCAUGGGGGUUCAUUCUAUCACCCCGUCCACGGUUUCUGGGCAGCUCUGCCCUAUUUGGCUCCAGCUUGAAUUUGGACCAGAGCAGGUGGAUGGAGUGAAGCUGCCCCUGCAGCUGUGGGCAUCCUGCCUUGGUGCAUCAGGAUCAUUGUAGCAAAACGUGCACCUCAUGGGCUGCCCUGAUGUGUUGCUCUGCAGAACAUCUGCAGCUGCCAGCAGGGCUCAGGGUGCCUCCCAGGAUGUCAGGAUGCUGCUCCUGGAGGUACUGUGGAGGAAAAAGGGGCAGGUUUGGCUGAUUUUAGAAGGCAUCUAAUUGCACCAGAUGGUACGGGCAUGUUUAAUUCACCCUCCAGAGAGGCUGACCUGUGAGCCACCUAACGUGGCUUUAUUGCUUUUCCCUGCAUACCCAGCAAAUCUCUGAGUGCAAGAACUCUGCUUUGUUUGCAUGUACAAUGAGACACUGGGAAACACCUGCCCAUCGCUCAGCAGACGCUCAGCCCGCUUGCAAAUACAUUUUAAGCCAUAAUUAAAAUGACAUGCCAUCUUCUCCUCGUACUACACAAGCAGAAGUAUGGCGUAUGGCCUCCAGAAAUCCAGAAUAACUCAAAGCAGAACUGGUUUGUAUGCUUAAUCAGACUGUGUGCUGAAUGCAGAACAUAACAACAACAAAAAAAACCAAUUAAAAAAAACCCAAACAACCCCAAACCUUUAUUAAAUGCACAGCACUGAGUGGGGACUUCUGCUCAACGUUGAUUGAGACAUUGGAAAAUUCAGCCCUCGUGUUUCAUCAGCUGCACUGAAAUACUUCGGUGCAGAUGGACAGAGCCCAGAUGGCAACCUCGGCUGCGGAGCAUCUCUGCCCCAGCCAUAUGCUGCUCAGAAGGGGAAGGGAUGCAGGGUUUGCUUCGUAGCUUUGGGACUCGCUGGUGCCACGUGGAGCUCAGAGCUGCUCAUUUCCACCCAACCCGCGCUAUGGUGACACAGUGGGGACGUGGCACUGCUGUCCUGCAGUGGGAAAAAGGCAUGGCAGGGAGCCAGGGAUGCACACACUGCGGCUUUGUGGGGCCACUGAUUGAGGCAGAUAGCGAUGUAAUUGGGCCAACACACACUGUCAGGGGGAGGGCUGUUUGGUACUGUGGGUUGAGCACUUUCUGCAAGAACAGGAGGGCUUUCUUUUUGAGAACACGAGAGCUGAGCAAACACCUCCAGGAGAACCUCGUGAGACAUUCCGUGGAAGGUGGCAAGCAUUGGAUGAGUAACAUUUCCCCAUAGUGCAUUAAUCAACGCCUGCUUGGCCAAGCAGCAGUCAGUGUGAGAGGAGGACGAGUUGGGCUCCCAGGCACACGGGGAACUGCUGAGACUCAGAUUGCACACAGCAGCACCACAGUGACAAAGCUGCCUUGGUUCAGCACCCAGGGGCACUGCCACAAUCCCAGCUCAGAGAUGGGAUGGGAGGUAUGGUGUGCAACUCGUUGCUGGUUCCAUGAGAGCUUCUCCAUGGCGCUCACACAGGGACAUAAAAUGUGAGGGGUGGCCUCUGUCCUCCUGGCACCGUGGUUCCCUGAGUGCAGCUCCCUUCCUUGAGCAGGAUCAGAGCAGGGCUUCGGAGGAUCCUACGCAGAGAGCAUCCUCCAAGGACGUGUUUUCAAAGGCUCUCCAUCUCCCAAAGGCUGAAUAAUCUCAAGAAAGGGCCCAGGAAGAAGUGAAAUCCUCUCCAGAACGGUCAUUUGCAAGAGUGUGUUUCCGUAACCUUGCAUUGUUACAGCAUCACAAGGAUUUGUCUCCUCUUCUGGCUUCAGCACACAUGUUCCUGGCUCCCAUGGAGGCACUGUGGACAGCCCAUGCCAUACAACGUGCCAGAAACAUGACCUCCCCAUGAACUUCGGGCCAUAUUUUCAAGUCUGCGCCCAGCUCCUUGCAGGCAGGGCUGUCUGGCCAGUGCAUUCUGGCCCUUUUGCAUGGAAAAUGAGCUGUGUCAGCCUUCGUGGCCCACUGGCUUGCCAGCUGCGUCCCUAACAGCACUUUGCAGCCUCCUCCCUCCGUGCUCAACAUGUUGCCUUCACCUGGCACAUGGGACAGCAACGAGGGGACUGUGAGCUUGUCCUCGGUGGCUGGGGCCCAGCUGGCCACCCCCAUCUCCCCACUGCAGCCACCGCACGCUCCUCGAUGCAGCAGAACUCAAUGUACAGCCCUUUUAUUUUUCCUCCUUGGUUUUCCUGUUCCCAGAACAGUUGAAUAUUUUACUUGCAUCGUGCCCCAGUUCCCCAGUUUCCAGCAGGCAGAACAGGGUGAUCUGUACCCAUCUCUUGCAGCAGCUGGUGCUUGUUCCCCUGGCAAAACUUCACUUUGGAGCUGAACCCAACAAUGCUGCUGACUCCAACUGAUUCUUUCUCCCCCAGCCUAAGGCACUUUAUGAUGAUAUUAAUAACCAGACACUGAGGUUCAGCACUAAGGAUUUCUUAAGCUUGCUGCUGGGGCUGUGAUUGAGCUUUGUAGCCAUCUCUGCUUCAUCCCAUGAUCCAUCAGGGUUGGUGGGGACACCCAGACCUCUUUUGGGAAGUCCCUCCACAGCUCCUCCCUCCCAUAGCACCCAUGGGGUCAGGGGCAGACCGGGUGCUCCCAGACCUCUUUCCUGUUCUGCCCUUAAUACAUCAAAGGGAGAUCUCUUGUUCGAUGGUUCUCUAUUAACCCUAUUCAUGAGUCUUUUAAUUAGUGUUGCCUUCUGCUAAGUAAUCGCUUCAGCCUUAGCUCCUCUGGGGCAAUGCAGAGCUGCAACAGGGCACUGCAGGAGCUGCAUGCUGCUGUUCUGCUUUCUGGACCUGCUCCUGCUGGCAACUAUGCCAUUCCUUUUGCACAGACCGCACAGUGCCAGAGCAGCCCACUAAAACUUGCAAAGAAAAGCAGAAAGAAGCAUCUGAAACCCCACCAGGAGCUGCGGCAGGUAGAGUUCUAUCCUUACAUCUGGGAAACCUCCAGCUCAGCUCAAUCCUGCUGAUGCACUGCUAAGGGGAGCUUUGUAGUGGCCCUAUUCAAAGCACUCAGCUCUGGGGGCAUGUUUCCCCCAGCACCCAGGAGCAAUGUUUCCUUUGUUAAUUCAGGGUCCCCACCAAUCUGCAUCACCCCAUGCCUGGAGGCAGAGCUGCCAUGGCUGCCUUUUAUCCCCUGCAUCCUCCGGCAGAGCUCACAAAGUGGUACUUUGUACCAGAGCAAGAAACAAGAGACGUGAGCUGUAAUACAGGAGAGAGAGAAAAAAAAACCCUCAUCUCACCCCUUGUGUUUUUCCUGGAAAUGUCACUGCCCUUAAUGCAUCAAAUAAUUAGAAUCACUUCUCCCCUUUUGUUUGCCUUGGCCCUCACUGCUCGCAUUGAGUGGGCCAACAUAAACCUGUGCGCACCACAGGAAUUUUGGGCACAGCCCAUUCUGCAGUGCUGGGUGCAGGGGGAGAAGUGGCUGCAGGAGCUUUGGUUCUGCUCCAUAUGUCUCUGCUGCUGUGGGCACUGCUGGGCACGGAGCUCCCGUAGAGAGGACCUCACUGCAACGCUAGUGCUCAACCAAGUGCUGGUCCCUAUGGAAAUCCACUGUCCUGGAGAGAAGCAGCAGCAGCUGAUGCCCAUUUAAUGCCAAAAUUGCAGAUUUGUGUUUGACCUGAGUGGUGGGUGUGAGCGUGAUGCUGGCGGGACAGAUGGGUGGAUAGCUCUCUGAAGUCCCAGUGGGAUGUUACGCUUGUUGCUCUGUAGUUGUAGCCUUCUCCUCUGGGUGCUGGGGAGUGCUCCGAGGUGACGUGGGAGAACAUAUCCCUUGUGAAUGCUGGAAAGCUGUGCUGGGUGAGGUGGCAUUGCACCACUAAUCCACGCACAGAGGAGCCCAGCACCCCCUCAGCACCCCUUACAGACACAGAUGGACACAGCCAGCAUCACAGCCCAGCUGGCUGCCUGCCCCCAGCACCGCUCCCAUGGGCUGCAUGUAUGUCAAUGGGUUAUUAAAGAAACGGAUGGGGGAUUAGCUGUGCUGUAGGUAGAGACCCCAUUCAGAUUUGCUAAGUUUCAGCAAGUAUGUUUUCAAUAAUUGGCUGGUAUUUGUAAGAAAUGAAUAAAACCUAGGCUACUAAAGUUGGUCCUUCUCUUAUUAUAAGGCAUUUAUUGCAUGCUUAGAAGCAUAUGUCUUCAAUAUCUGAAGCAAAGGAAAGUAAUACGUAAGGAUCCCUUCUUAAACACAAAUAUAUGCAGCCAUAAUCACAAUUAUUAGCCACCAUGAAAUAGCUAACAAACUGAAGAAGCCCCCUCAGCAGCAGCUUUACAACUGGGGGUGCAUAAGAAAUAAAGACAAAGGCGAGAAUUGCCCUCUUAGCUGUGCGAGACUCCACAAGGCAGAGGAAGGAUCAGCUCUGCUGAGGAGUGUUGGCAUCUCGGAGAAGGUUCACGGAUGAAGCCAAUGGAGAAGGGUGUGCAGGAGCGGGGCAGGGAAUUGGGAAGCAGCGCUGCUGCUGGUGGUUGUAUCCUUCUGAAGAAAGAACACUGGAAAACCAAAGCUACCUGUCACUGCUGCUGUUAUCGCAGAGGUAUUUGGGAGAGGGUGAGCGAAUGUUUCUGCAGAACUGCGUGCUGAUUUAUUGGUACGGAGGGAGGUGCAGCGGGGAAACCACUGUGCGGAUCAUUGGCGAGGAGGGGCACGUGGUUCUCCAAAGAUUUUUGUCUGAAAACGCAAUCAGCUGAAGUCAGCGCCGCGCUGAGGGUCUGAGCAGAGCUCAGUGCUGCUCAAGGAGGCACUUUCAUGUAAGAGGGAAGAAAUGGGCCCUGGCUCUGUGUAUAUCCCUGUUGGUCUUCUGAACACUUCGCGUUGCGUCUUCCUCCUCACUGCACCGCCCUGAAGCACAUACAGAAAAUGAUUGCUGAAAACGGGGCGUCCGCGAGUCACAAUGAGCGCAAUUAAACCAUGGAACGGAUUCCCCAGGGAUCUCACGCAUCCUUGGCUGCUUGGAGGAGCCUCAGGGCGGGCUGCAGCAGCUCCUUCCCUUUGGUGGAGCAGCGCUGUUCCUCCUGGGAUUUGCUCCAAACGGACAGCUCUGCUCUGCUCCAGCUGCUCGGUGGGUUUCUCUCCAGCACGUUGCUGGUUUGCACAUCGUUUCAAGCCUGCAGCUGUUAUCGGGCUGUUGGUUGGAGCGUUAUUCACUUCCAAUCCCUGCCUCAUUGCAGGGGGAGACCAUCCCUGGAGAUCCUCCCAUCUCCCAUCUCCAGGGCGCCGAUCCUCAGCCACUCUGAGCGCAAUGCAGACACCACACAGCUCAGCAGGUUUCAGUGCCUCUGCCACCAACUGCGACUCAAAUCCAAAGCGAUUUGGCUUUGUUUUGUUUCUAAGUUGCUGCUCGAGCUUUCUUGGCUCACAGGCAGAUUUUCUCUUCCAAGGUUUCAGUGGUGGAGGGCUGUUUCUCUAAUCCCCAAUAGUUUGAGAUUAUCUCCAGCCAACAAUUAAUCAGAAUCAGAAUUUUGCACUGCUUGCCUGUGCUGCCGCAUUGAGUGCAUGUAAAACCCUCUUUCCUCUGAAGAAAAGCAUGUUCUACUUUCCUAUGUUGCCUCCGGUCUCUUUAGCUGUCAGGGCACUCGGCAUCACACCAGGAUGCUGAAUAGGCCAAGGGAUGCCUUAAACAUACCACUCAAACAGGCAGAAAGUGGAUUCAGGAAGGCUCAACACGAGCUGAAAGCUCACUGUUUAGGAAGCAUCUCUGCUGGGGUGAGGGUUGGCUCUUAUGGGUUUGUGUUGCGGACUCAGCACUUGGGCAGCUUUGUUUUGGUGCAUGGAAUGCUCAGAGGCGUUCUCUGAGCGCUGUGUUUGGGUAAUAGCCAAAAAUGAACCCAGUUGGCUAAUGGAAAUGCAUCCUUCCUCCUGUGCUGGGACUGCGUUGCUCUGAGUGCGUUGGAAACAGCACCAGAAGUGAUGUCUGACUGCUGCAGAUCCCAAACCCUCAGUCAGGCACUGCUCUGUGGAUGAGCAAGAUGGGCACAGCUGGAUCUGCUCCUCAAGGAUCCGCUGCAGGUGUGUGACUGGGGAAUUUUUCCCAACCACUCAACCUUCUGACAGGGCUUCCAUCAGCUGGAGCUGCCUCUCCCUUCCAGCAUCUCUUCAGGCUGAAAAGAAAUCAUAUUUCCUGAAGCAACACCAAACAGGGAAGUGGUGCUGCUUUGUCAUGUCCAAUUUCAAGUAGCUCUUCUCCUUAAGCUGCUCACAAACAAGAGAGGAGGUUGUAACACACAGCUUCUUUCAGACACGAUUCUCUCCUGCUGAGCCCUGAUCUCUUGCUGUCUGCAGCUCUGUGCUCUAUAGAUGGCACACGAUGCCAGCUCUGCCUGGCAGCCACAAGCUGAUGGGAUUUGUAUUUGUCCCAUCACCCCAUGAGCUGUCACAGGGGUGGAUCCCACUCCCUCCUGGCACUUGCUGUCUGCUGAGGACUCCCGUGUUAUCACUGCUGUCAACUUCCAAGCUGCGUUUUAUAUGGGAAGGAAAGCUGCCAGGCUGCUCUGCGAGCCAGUAGGUAUUCUUGGAGACAAAACAUUCAGUCUGGACCCGGCGCUGGUGGUUAAGCUUUAUUUGGUUCUCAUUUCCUUGAGAACUGGAUGCUCCUCUCCAUCUGUCAGCUCACAAAGCUGGGUCAGGCCGGCUGCAUCCUCUGCUCCAAAGCAAGGACCCCAAAAGGGAUCAGCUCCCCUUGACAUCAACGGGUUCUGGAUUGGGCCCCAGGCAAAGGCUCUCAAGAACGUGCUGCAGUUUGGGAAGCGGAGAAGCUGCGGUUUAACAUGGGAAUAGUUGGAGCAAGAAAAAUGUUAUUACCAAAACUCAGCUUAAACCAAGAGUACCGCGAGGUCAAACGCUGCAGCCAGUCAGAAACACAGUGUUCUUGAGGAUUGUUAUACUGGAGUUACAGGAGACAAGGUGCUUUCGUGGUAAAUGGAAAACGCAGCUCGGCAGAGAGGAGGAAGCUGCAGCAAAUGCACUGCUGAUGUUAAGCUGCUGCCUCCCUGGGGCCAAGCAGCAGUGCAUGACUGGGAACGUCCCAUCCCUGGGUCAGCAGCUGGACACCUCCAAGGCAGGGACCCCCCAGCCCCUCUUAAAGCUCUCUUGAAUGAUCCCAUGCUGCAGAGAGUACUACUCUGUACAAACAUGUAUACAAAUGUAAGUACAUCCAUAUACUUGGCUGAGAUGUAUAAACUCUGCAAUGGACUUUGGAUGUAAGUGUGGU
ensembl:lncRNA